rnacentral:tRNA from 1 species
ACUUAAAUAGCUUAUAUUAGAGCAUAAUAUUGAAGAUAUUAAGGAAAUAAAUUUAUUUUUAAGUA